UCAGGAUGAACGCUGGCGGCGUGCAUAACACAUCAAGUCGACGAAGCACUGUCGAUGAAGUCUUCGGAUGGAAUUGGCUUGACUAGUGGCGGACGGGUGAGUAACGCGUGAGCAACCUUCCUGCUUGUGAGGGAUAACACAGGGAAACUUGUGCUAAUACCGCAUAACGCACGAUUGUCGCAUGGCAGACGUGCCAAAGAUAUAUUGCAGGCAGAUGGGCUCGCGUCUGAUUAGAUAGUAGGUGAGGUAACGGCCCACCUAGUCGACGAUCAGUAGCCGGACUGAGAGGUUGAACGGCCACAUUGGAACUGAGAUACGGUCCAGACUCCUACGGGAGGCAGCAGUGGGGAAUAUUGGGCAAUGGGCGAAAGCCUGAACCCCAGCGACGCCGCGUGAGGGAAGAAGGUCUUCGGAUUGUAAACCUCUUUCAGCAAGGAAGAAGAAAGUGACGGUACUUGCAGAAGAAGCCACGGCUAACUACGUGCCAGCCGCCGC
rnacentral:rRNA from 1 species